AAAUUGAAGAGUUUGAUCAUGGCUCAGAUUGAACGCUGGCGGCAGGCCUAACACAUGCAAGUCGAACGGUAACAGGAAGCAGCUUGCUGCUUUACUGACGAGUGGCGGACGGGUGAGUAAUGUCUGGGAAACUGCCUGAUGGAGGGGGAUAACUACUGGAAACGGUGGCUAAUACCGCAUAACGUCGCAAGACCAAAGAGGGGGACCUUCGGGCCUCUUGCCAUCAGAUGUGCCCAGAUGGGAUUAGCUUGUUGGUGAGGUAACGGCUCACCAAGGCGACGAUCCCUAGCUGGUCUGAGAGGAUGACCAGCCACACUGGAACUGAGACACGGUCCAGACUCCUACGGGAGGCAGCAGUGGGGAAUAUUGCACAAUGGGCGCAAGCCUGAUGCAGCCAUGCCGCGUGUAUGAAGAAGGCCUUCGGGUUGUAAAGUACUUUCAGCGGGGAGGAAGGUGUUGUGGUUAAUAAC
rnacentral:rRNA from 1 species